UGUACUAGAUAUGUUCCCGACAGUUGAACGUUGUUUACACAGACAGUUUUACUCCGGAAAUAUUAAAAGGUGAACCAUAGAGGAGAGAAACUGUUGCCUUAUUUCGGUAUCGAUCUGCCUGACGCUGGAAUCGGUCAGUAAACGUAGCAUCUGCGGUCGGCUACUUUGGGAUCGAUCCGCCCACCUCUACCUUCUCCGGGGGUCUUCAACCGCUAACCGUCCUACAGCGGGAGAGCUACACUUCAGCUCCCAGUUGGGAAUCUAUGCCAUCUGUGGCUGGAUGGACAAGGCAAAAGAGUACAAAAGGAAGUUCUUCCUCCUCCUCAUUGCUACCCUCAUCUUCAUCAUCUGUAUCACUAUCACCUCCACGUCGUACAGGACCGCCCCAAAGCUCCUUAAACGUUGCCGUUUGCAGGUCUCUGAGCAGACCAUCACCCCCCUCAGCAAUACCAAGCACUUCCUGGUGUCAGCCUACGUGGAUCAGAGAGUGAAGGACUUGGAUAUUCGCAUCAUUGGCAUAUUUAGGAGAGACUCCAUCCAACCCCUUUACUGUCUUUUCUGCUGUGCUGGCUGGUUAUCACACACAACUCCAACAAAAAUUUUGCAGCACUCAGACAGCUUUGGUUUUCCUUUCAUCACCACUGAUGUCAUGUGUCAGAUUCCUGAUAACUGCAGCGCUACACAUGUCAGUCUCCUGACUCAUCCAGACAGAGAGAUGAUACUAGCCAACCAGAUCUGGCUUCCUAUAAGAAACCAGAAGAUCAAUGGGAACGAGGAGAGGAAGUUGCAGUUUAACUUUACUGUCUGCGUCUCCAACCUGUUUGGAAACUACAACAACGUGCUUCAGUUUGCACAGACCCUGGAGAUGUACAGGUUGCUGGGUGUAGACAGGGUGGUGAUUUACAACACCAGCUGCGGCCCAGACCUGGAGCGCCUGCUGCAGAGCUACAGCCAGGAGGGCUUCGUGGAGAUGGUUCCUUGGCCCAUCGACAAGCAUCUGAAUCCAUCUCGUGGCUGGCUCUUCUCACAGAGCGGAGGGGACGUGCACUACUUCGGCCAGCUGACCACCCUUAACGAGUGUAUUUACAGAUCCAUGGCCCGCUCACGCUACGUCUUGUUGAAUGACAUUGAUGAGAUUAUAAUGCCAUACCAGCACAACAACCUGAUGUCUCUGAUGGACAUGCUCCAAGAGCAGCAUCCAAAUACAGGAGUCUACCUCACUGAGAACCACAUCUUCCCCAAGAAACAUUUUGAGCCAAGUGGGAGGUUUCACCUGCCUCAGUGGGACGCCGUGCCGGGAGUUAAUAUUCUGGAGCACAUCUACAGGGAGGACCCCGACAGAAAUAUUUACCACCCAUACAAGAUGAUUGUUCAGCCAAGGUUGGUGGUGCAGACUUCAGUGCAUGACGUGCUCAGGCAUUAUGGACGACAGAUUAAGGUUCCGAUGGAGAUUUGUCGGCUCAUUCAUGUCCGCGUGCCUCUGCGGGGGUCGUUGAAGCUGGAGCAGCUCAAUGAGGACAAACGACUGUGGGACUUCCACGAAGAGCUGAUUCCCAAUGUGGACAAAGCACUGAGGAGAGCGGGGCUGCUGAGCCCAGAGGGGCAGAUCUGAUGUGUAAUAGACACCCUGAUGUCACACGUGUUGAACAGGUUGAAUGUGACCCUCACCAGCGGGGUCAUUUCAUGUCAUCCUGUUUUAAUCUCAGUGUCACUGCUACUGAUUUCUAAAAUGAUUCCUUAUCUUGCACUAAAGGGACACCACACCCCCUUACCUCAACGACUGCAACGAUGCACUGACUGUUUGGAGAGUGACUAAGUGUCCUAAUCAGUUGCGGUCACCCUCCCCCUGCAUUUUAUCUAUGACUGAAUAUUCAAACUAAUAAUAUAACACCUCGACACCCUCUCUGAACAUGCACUCCCUAUCCAACAUUUUGGCUCAUAUCGAGGUUAAAGUAGGCAAACAUUCUACAUUUAACCUCCUCUAAGACAAAGGGCGCCAUCUUACACCUACUCAAAGACAGCGCAACUGUUACUGCUAGUUUCAGAGUGAUACAGUUGCCUUUUUUACAGCCAGCGCCCACACUGUGUAAGUAGCAAAUGUACUUGUGGUUAUCUGUGCGGCCAUGGCUGUGUAGGUCUGUAAUUGAGGUGUGGUCAGGCCCUUUUUUAAAGGGCAGCAGAAAGCAAUUGUGCCACUGACCAACAAAAACCUGGUCUAAAAUCAGAAUGACACAGUAUUUAAAUGACAUUCUUACAUUCGUUUCUCCCCUUUACAAGAGACGCUGUGCUUAUUUACACACAAGGAGCAGCGUAAUAUCAUUGAUUAUUUCAGAAGCUAAAAGCUUGGUUCUGUUUCCUCUGUCAAGUUCAUAACCACAGCUUUUAGUUUUGCUGUUAAAAUGUCCCACGAUAUUUGCUGCAGUGACAUUUCUGCUCUUACUGUACUUCUCUCAGCAGAAAAACACUCAGCUCUCUAAUAUGCUAAAGCUGCCGUAUAAAUAGCAGUGCACCAGGUGCAGACACACCUGGCUGUUAAAGGGAAUGGGAGAUGACACACUGAUUGAAUUUGUGUUAUUCCCAAAACACACCUAUGAUUAAUUUAAGGGACUUAAUACAGCACAUUUGCCCCUUGUGUUUUACUUUGUGCCCAGAUUAUGUGCUGUUUAACUAGCAGAAGUGGACUUGCUCUAAAUGCACUUGCACCAUGCACUUUAGACCCUUUUACUGUUAGUAAACAGUAUGGCAUGUUUAGGUGGGCGGGGCUUAGCGGGAGUCAAAACACAGACAUUAGCUAGCACUAGUUAGAAAGUUCUGUUGGCUUGUUUUAGACAAUGGAGGAAGAUGAUGCGAGUGGUGAAUUCAGAUAUACUCAUUCCGAGUGUCUGAGUGUCAAAAAAUUUGAGCACUGUGGGAAUGUCCCGUUAGGUUAUCCAGAGCUAGGCACUCUGUUUGCGGAGACGGAGCAGCAGAGCGCUGAGUGAAGUGUAUGUGUGAUUAACUUAAACGUUUGUUAAUUCAUAUAGAAAUAUAACGCUCCUUUUCUUCGACCAAGAGGGCUCUCAUUUUAGUAUAGAGCAUCAGUUUGAAUUUAUGAAUGCGCCAUGUCAGGUCGCUCAAUCUCUGGGACCAUGAGUGCUACUUGAAUAAGUAAACACUGACCAACGGGACCAGACUAGCCGACCCAUACGCUCUCACUCAUUGGAUGGAUGAUGUCACAGGAAGCUUUGUGGUUGAUUACAAUGCCAGUCUUAAAAAGGAGGACGACACUUGAACAGUUUCCGUCAGUUUGUUUUGCUAUAGAAGCUAACGUUAGCUAAUGCGCUAAAAAGUUUGCGUUACGGAGAAAUCCAAUAUCCCUCUUAAUACCUCCCCGAUUUCUGAUUGACUUUUCUCUAACUUGAUAUGAAGUGUGCUCUGCACAUGUGAGCAUUUCUGAUGAUCGCCUCUGUCCAGUUCUUUUGUUUAUCACAUUUAACCAUAGCUGUCUUUGUUUUUGUUGACCGGCAGUGGCGGCUGGUAUGUGAUAAAUUUACGUUUGAGCCAUGACUAUUCUAUUCUGGCUCCCAAUAACACAACAAGACCACAUUUGGUGGCAAGUCAUGUUUUGCCUCCAGCUAACAAACUGAUCUCAUUGUGACAUCAGCCCUAAAAGAGUCUACAGAUCCUUUUAAAUAGGGCGCUAAUAAUCUACAGCCCUGCUUGCUGCUCUGUAAGGCUGUAGUCAGGCACAGUGAUGUCAAGGGAUCAUUGAGGUAAUACUUCAGGGGACAUUAAUGUAUGCAAGUUAAAUGGCAGUCCACAUAACAGUGGAUUGAAAACCAAGAGAAAAAGUCACAGCAUCACCAAAGUCGUUAGGAUGCAUCAACUUGAGACCAUGAAUGUCCGCACAAAACUGAUGAGAUGUUGAGUUUUCAGUCUGGACCAAAACAGGGUCCUGACAUCAUCAUUCCAAGAGCCAGAGCACGCACAUGGCUUUAAAAACACAUCAACAAUACUACUGAAAGUGUAAAAACAUUUAUGCAACUAAACACACAAAAAGAGAUGUUGUCAGUAAGAUGACUGAUAUUGGCUGAGGUUUCAGAUCGAGAGGUUUGAGACAACAACUGUUUGUUUUUAGCUUCAAUGAUUCUGGUCAGACCCAGUUCUGUUUGUCUCAGACGAUUUUUUUUUGUUGGUUUUUUUGGUUUUUGCAGCGAUUACUUGGUUGGUCUUUGUUCAGUAACUAACCUCUGCCAUCAUAUCACCUCUCCAGGGUGUUUGGGCUACAAGAGUCCUCGGGUGUGGAAACUCCAAUUUAAAAAAGCAGCUGCGUCCUCGGAUGAACUCAAAAUAAUCACAGGUUGACUGAACAAUGAGUGUGUUGCAAAUACCUUAACUACUGACGAACUGACAGAACGACUCAAAUGGACUUUUCAAAAGGAUUAUUUUAGCACCCGAAGUCUCAGCGCCAUCUUCUCCUUACCUUACCUUGAGAAGAUAUGAUCCCACUGAAUGGCCAGUAGUGACAUACUGUUAUUUAUUUGAUUAAAUUACCAGGUACGAUCAUCAUUCAAGCUAACAAAGGUCAAACCAGGCAUUACAUAGCUUAGUUAGCUUCAACCUCUAACAGUCAAGCCGAAAUAGUACCUAUAACUUUAAUAGCCUCAGCUUUAUGAGCGUUGGCUACAUCCUCAAUGUAAUGUCCAGUUUUUGUCUUUGUUCUGGGUUCUUUACCCUGUUGGUACUGUGUCCCACCUCACAGCAGCUCCGAGGCAUUUUUCUGUCGUUUGCUAGCAGACAAAUGACAAGGAGGCUCCUUUACGCAAUACAAAGUAAAUGGAGAGCAUGUAUUUAUUUCUUUGGUAGGGGCGGAACUUAAAGACUUUGCACACUGAGUCCGUUUUUUUUUUUUUGUUGUUUUUUUCAUCUGAAAUUGCCGCACGUCUUAAAAUAAAUACGACCCCACAUUGUGUCAAUCACGUUUGCACAUUGAGUCAGAAACGUUCAUCAGUCAUUAAGAUUUUCGGAACAGGUUCAAUUUUUCUGCAUUUUUUGCAUCCGUCAGAGCCUUUAGAGACAUUUGAGCAAGAAUCAGUGAAGAAAAUGUGGCAGCGGGGACACAGCCACGACAAGACAGAGGAACAUUGUGCACAGAUUCAUUUCAUAACUCAGACACCUCAUGUUCAACAGGUCAGAGUCAUAUUCAGGGGGAUGAUAAUGAAGAGCCAUCCCCAGGUUCACUUACGUUUUGGAACAAGUUUGUGUUUUUUUUGUUGCUGUGUCCUCGAUUUUGUAGCUUUAACACCAGGCAUGCUGGUGUUUUGUUGACAUGCCAGGUGCCGUAAAUCCGUCGGUGCUGUAAAACAAGUGCCAUUAACUGUCGCAAGAGUGAACAACGCUGAUGUUCAAGUUCGUAAGUUGCAAACUGAUGCGUACAGUUUGCUGUUCUUUAAAGAUAUGUGCACAUUAAGCGCAACGUUCAUGCACAACACUGCUCUGCACAUAACCACAUCGCCACUCACUUCUAAUGAGUUGUAAAUGAUGAUUGAGAGGGAGUACUUUUGUAUGAGUCUAUACAUUGUUUUUGUUUUAAGAAAUCCUGCAUAGUUUACCUAUAAAUGUUAAAUAUGUGUCUAAAUUUUUUAGUAUUUUUACAUCAAAAAUCACUUUUUUCCUGUAAAAUGUAAAAAUAUUUUUGAUGAUUCAUUUUGAACUUGGGGGAGGUUACAUAAAUUCAUCUAAUCAAAGUGUGAUUCAAGGAUGAUGAUCUAACCUUUCCUGUCAUAGCUCAGGUCUCCUCCUGCUUAAUCAUCCCUUUAUCACAGUUACUGUAAUACAGUAAAAAAUGAAGGUUGUCAAUACUCUGGUAUUAUCUGCUACUGUAUAUGGUGUCUGUGGUGUGACUGAUUUUGUCAGGCCAAAGAGAAUCCUGAAAGCUUGCAUGCUGGGUACACAAAUCAAACAAGAGGGAUUAAUAGCUCAUUGUUCAUGUGAGCACCCGGUCAGACUCUGUUCACAGCCAAAUGACUUAUAAUGACCUCAGGGUACAUUUUUGUAAAUUUGUUUAUUCCUUUGUGAACAUUUAAGUUCAUUUAAAGAGAAUGUGUAACUGUAUUUAUAAUGUAUUGUUACUGUGAUAUUGUAAUAAUAAUGUUUGUGGUUUAAAGGAGCAGUGUGCUGGAUUUACAGCGAUCUAUGAGCAGACAUGGACUAUAAGGGUCUUGCUUUGGUCUGAAUCAGGGACUAAUUUUGUCACAAAGUUGUAUAAUUGCCUAGAGUUGGUUCAUGUUCUCACGGCAGCAUUUACAAGAGGACCAGAUUUGGCUUGUGUGAGAACGCUGCUCUUGAUUGGUCAGAAUUUCCAUGCGGGAAAAAUCCAGGAAGUAAACAAAACGUAGAAGAAGAUAAAUGUGACACUUUCUAAUGUCACAAUGGAGGGACAACUACACAGGUUGAUUUUAGCGCUGCUCAUCGUGGACUAUAUUGCUGUCAUUGUUCAUUUUAGUCAAACCAUACAGUUUGAAAACGAGGCGCGGCUCCAACUAGAAAACAAUGUUUUGAUGCAUUGGAUGUGCUGAAUGUGCAUAUUAAGGCAGUACAGGAGGAGGUGCA